rnacentral:lncRNA from 1 species
GAUUUGUCAAUGUAAAAAGACCUACUGCAAGGCACAUAGUAGUAAAUUUGGAAGGUAGGGUGGCGCCAAGGUUGGAUAAUUCAGCAGCUCAAUGAUGUCACUGGUGAUCUGGUUAUUCUUGGCUUUCUCCUCUCCUGUUGUGAUAGGUCAGUUUUCUGUACAAGCUAGCUUUUCUUCAUGGUCGUGAAGUAGAUUCAGCAAUAUUAGGCAUCACACCCAGAAUCAACACCAUCCAAAAGAACAAGAACGUGAAAAACAAGAUAUGACACCACAUUUCUGGUGCCGUUUUUUUUUUUUUUUAAUCAGAGAGGAAACCUUUCUCGGAAGCCGCCCAGCUGAUUUCUGCUCAAGUCUGUUCUCCAGAAUUGGGUCACAUAGCUCCCCUGCAUGAAUCACUGGCAAGAGAAAUGGGAUCAUCAUAAUUGUUUUGGAUUAAUCAGAUGUGUCCUCUAAGGCAGAUGGGGAAAUGGACACUGGUGCUCAAGCCAUCAAAGAAGGAGCCACGAGAACCUGCUGCCACAGGGCAAAGGGGAGAGUAGAUGUCGUUAUGGGUCACUUAAAUGAUAAAUGACAAACCUUUUUAUGUGCAUACAUCUGUGGGCUAAGCAUUUAGAAAAUAUCCUGCGACACAUGAUAGAAUCCUUAGUCCUAAGUCAUUGUCUUCCCUCCUCGUUCAAAGGGCCCCUGUUCAUAAAUUUCUACUGCCCGAGUCCCAACUAUACACCUUUGGAAUAUGAAAAAAUACUCUUUUUAAUUUCAGAAGUAAAAUCUGUUUUACCUUUUCAAAAGUGAAAUUCAAACUCUGAGCUGGAGAAUAUCUGCAUGCAGCCAUGCCGUCGGGGAACUAUAGAGAGGUCCAUUCUUAAGAGGUAGUGUGGCUUUCAUUGGCCGGUAAUUGAAACACUACCUACUGAGUGCUUACUGUUCAGUCUAACAGCCCAGCUUAAUAUUUCCUCUUCCAAGAAGACUUCCUUAGUUCACCCAGUCUGAGGUCCUGUUUCCAGUUCUCCAUGAACAUUGUCUUCUCUGUAGUCUAGUUAUUUAGGUCCACAUUUACCUCCUCCUUGCUGACUAGUCUGUGAGCUCCUCUGGAUCUGGGCCUCAAUCUCAUUCUGUUUCUCCAAACUGUGGUGCAGAGCUGGACAU